GGAAGGCAGGGCCAACCCAGGGCAGCUCAGGUGUAUUCAAUGCCCUGAGUGACCAGAAGGGCUGGAGCCAGGAUCCACCCCUGCCCAGACCUCAUUUAAGGGUUAGCAGUGGAGGUGAGGGUAUCUCGCUGCUGAUCUCUGCCUCCUUAAUACUUUUUAAAGCAGAAAUGGUAAACCUGGUAGAAGCGGUUCGCACACAACAGCCGAAUCCAUUUGAGAGCAGGCACCACCAUGAAAGGGAACGUCUGAUGGCACAGGGCAUCAGUGGCAGCGUGGGCACUUGUGGGGUCCGAGCUCAAAGCUGCCUCUCCCCCUGCUGUGAAAUGCAGCAUCAGAUGUAUCCCUGCAGCAAUGCAUGCAGCAUCACAGCGCGCUCCCUCUCUUUUCUCAAGGCACCAUUUGGCAGAUCUGCACUGUGAAAGUCACGGCAGUCUUUCAGAAUAACUUCUCCCACCAUCCCAGCAAAUGCAAUGGAACAGGGGGUGCUGGGAGCCAGGCUGCAUGGAGCAUCCCUCCCUCACUGCAAAAACCCCCAAAUGCUCUGUAUCUCCCACACACACCCUGAUCUGUAUCAUGACAACACUGUGUUGGCA